GUUGUGGCUUAGCGGUAGAGCGCUUGCCUAGUGCAUGUGGGGCCCUGGGUUCAAUCCUCAGUACCACA
rnacentral:tRNA from 1 species